CCUCGGAUGCGUCGAGGAUCGCGCGAUGCGGACGGUCGAGGAGGACAGGAUCGCGACGACGGCGACGGCGAAUCGAGCGUGCCGACCCUCCGAGGCAACCUGCAACAAUAAUCGUCCGACUCAUGAAAUCAUCAGCUUCCCAUUCUGGAAUGUGUGAUGACCCGUUCCUGUCGGCACUUACCUGUAAUUUAUGAGCGAUGUCUUACGGGAAUUCAUUAGAUAUAAAUGGAAAUUGGGCAGAGUAAUGCAUGUAUGUCAUUCAUACAAUAUCAAUGUGUCACGUUGCACCUACCGCUGGAAGCGCCGUAUCGUAAAAUCGCGAGCGAAAGGAAGCGUUCUUAUCUACGCUUGGCAGGAUGCAGGCACUUUUGGUGAUGAUUUAUACGAUAUGUAAUUAUCUAAUCGCAGGAUAACAGUUAAUUUUCUCGUUUAGAAAAUAUCGAGGGUAUCUCUCUUUACUUGACUGUGUGUAACUGCAGUUUCACACACAAAUUAACAAACAUCGUUUAUUACUAUUUUGAUUUCAAUUUAAUUUUCAAUAUCUUUCAUCAAGUUUGACAAUGGCGGAAUGUUGGCACAGUUUCACAAACUACACAACUUUCAUCUAUUUUUUUCAGAAUUGAAAAAUUCUGUUAAAUUAAGAAUAUUAAUUUCUGUAAAGAAAUUUCGCAGAACGAAAAUAAAUGCAUACAGCAAAAAGUGCAUUAUUUUGGAAAUAACAGACAAGUUUUACUGGAAUAUCUAUUAAUUAUCGAAAGGAAUGUACUUUAUACCUAACGCUAACCAGGCACUUAUUAUUAGGCGUAACCCACAUCACGCGAUCAUUUUUCUAGAAAAUCAAUGGAAGGAAUUAAAAACAUACAUUGAUCAAUCAUUAUUGCCGCAAAAAAAAACAGAAAUAAAGCGAGACGAAGAAGAAAACGCCCAUCCCGAUAAAAGAAAGAAAUAUAUUUAAUAAUAUUAUGCAAAAGAUUCUAACGUUCUUCAAUCGAAAAAUUAACAAAACGAGCAAAGCAAAGCGAUAUAUAAUAGCGGAUAACGGCUUUGUGUUCGUAAUAAUAAUUCGACAUCUCGCGUAUACAUCUAAAAGUGAUAUAAAAUCACGGCGACGAGUAAAAGUGUUUCGAUUAUCUGGCAGUCUUACUUUGAGCAUAGAUAUCUCUCAAAGAGGGAAUGUUUUAGAUGGCGAAGAAGCGAAUAAUAUAUAUAUAUAUAAACCGCGUGUGUCGCUCGUUUUUUUCUCUCCCUUCCUCUCUUUAAUAAAAUUCCGUAGCGCUACAACUAUCCAUUCGUAUGCUUCACACAUGUUUACCGCGAAAGGCAGGCGUUUACCGCGUUCGAACCGGGACUGAGGCCGUGCGUUACAAUGCCACGAGAUAUCGGAAUAUUUGCAUUACGUACCGUGAAAUUUACGCUGACACGCUAAUAUCAGAUUGACGGUUCCUAAAAAAAUUUCCGGAAUCUUUUUUUUUAAUUGUAUAUUUGUAAAUUUAUUGUCUUUUCAUUAUAAAUCUUUAUUAAACUUUUAUUAUACUCUCUGAUAAAAAGAUACGAGGAAUUGUGAUGUCAUUUUUCGUAUACAAUUGUGUCUAUACAAGAUUAAGAUAAGAAGACACGAAUUGUAUUAGGCCGAUCGUAUCGGUUUUCUACAGUAAAUAUAUCACGAGCUUUUAGUAUCGCACAAUUUGAACACUAGUACCACAUCGUAAACGUUAUAAGCCCUUUAUAAUCAUGUUAUCUCGAUAUUGCUUAUCUUGAUAAAAUUUUGACGAUCGCUUUUAGCGCGCAAUCAGCGGACUGUCAACUUCUCCCACGUGCGGUUCCUUACGAAAAGUAUCGCCGGCAACGGUAUCAUAAAAGCUGUUUCGGCUUCUAUCUUCGAAUAAUACAAGCGAGUCAACGUACUCGAAUCGGAAUACGAUAUUAGGUAUUCCAUGCGACACACACGCAUACGCAUACAUGUCAACGGGAUAUUAAAACAGUACCGAAUACAUUGCGCCUAAAAGCUAUGUAUAAAAUAUACGAACAGUAAAAAAUAGCGCUCCUCGUUAUUUAUCUCUGUACGAAGUAUCUAAACUAUCACGUCAAACUUUAUGUCGAUGGACGAAUAGACCAAUGACAAUUUAAUCUUAUCAUUCGUGAAAUCACAUCCGUAAAUUGUUCAGAUAUAAUAAUGUGAAUAUAUUUUUUUUUUUUUUUACGUCUAGAGAUAUCUGCGUGACAGCAUGAUGUUAAAGCGUCGCCGCGAUAUUACAAUAUUACUAUAAUCGCCGAUUCUCACGUGGUAUCCCAGUCUUAUAAAAAAAAAAGGCGAAAAAUGAUAGAUUUGAGGAAUGCUUGUAUAAAGCAUUCCAGCUUGGUCCCUCCAUACAUAUCACUUUUACAUCAUAAAUUUGUAUCAUAAAAGAGAAUUGACGAAGAAAUCGCAUAUCUCUUAUGUAACGUUAUAACUUGGUCUUUUCGAUAUACAUUAAUUUUAUAUUAUAAAAAUAGAAAGAAAGAAGACGCAAGAUACAGCGCAACAAUUGUAAUCUAGUUACGACAUAGUUUAAUAAAAUUGUGCGUAUGUCUUUCAGGGCGUGGAAUGAUGAAAUACGAGGAAGACGGACGCGCGUUAAUAUCUACACUUACACACACACACACACAUACGCACGAUUCUCCUCCUCUUACUCCCUCCUCCCUUCUCUUUCUCAUUCUCUUGUUCUCUCUAUGCUCAUAUACAUGUACAAAUGAAUUUUUUUUUCUCUCUACUAUACCUACAAUAUACAUAUGUAUUCCUACACUUUUAAAAUAUAAGAAAGAUCAAAGUAAUCAGUAGUAGCGUAAAGAAACCACAAGUUUGGGUUUGCGGGGGGCGGCGCGUGCGAUUCUCUUACAUGAAAGAGCGAUCGAAAGAAUAUAUAGUUAUAAAUCGUGAGAGAGAGAUAUAAAAACGAGAGUUCGUGUAAAGGAUGCUGAAAAUCUUUUACGAUAAGUACGCGAACUCUUCGCAGACACAAAUAAGAAUCUCUCUGUCAGAUACAUCCGAUCCCGUAUUAAAGUAUUAGAUAUUUAUCGUUGGACAAUCUUAUCUCUCUCUGACGAGCUCGAGAUGUACACCGAGUUUUCGACAGGAAAAAAAAAAGCAGUAAAGAAAAUGAAGCGAGAGAAUAGAGCUAAUAAGAGAUAACGCGUCGUCCCCCGCUUUAUCACACGAUCCAAGUCUAACGAACGAAGGUUUCCGAGAGUGCCGGGAGGACCUCGCGCUCUUUUAAGCUCUUUCACAGAUGCUUCUCUCUCUCACUCUCUCUCUCUCUCUCUUUCUUCUCGUUUUUGUCAAAAGACAGCUUUUGUCUAGUUUCGACGCGGUAUAAAGGCCAAAAAUGUUUCAAGAAAAGGGACAAUGAAAGUCUUCUAUCUCCUAGAUUUUCUCGUUUGGCACGUAUUAUUCUUACAAGGCAGGUUGUUCCAUCACGAACAAGACGUUCGCUUCGAGACUCGUAGGAAUGCAAGCGAGGAACGAAUGAACACGCGCACAAGCCGGUGAAGCGCUUCGCGGAAGACCGGGAUUUUUAUUCUCCGCGUGCGCAUACAUGACCAUAGGACGUUCGUGUUACGAGGGGCUUUAUCCGCAAACUUUAUUGCAAUGUUAUGUACACUUUGCCGCAAAGAACACGUGUGAAUAAAAACUCGCGCAGAGCAACAAACUGGUUCUGUUAAAAUUUUUUUUUUUUUUUUUUUACUUGGUUAUUAAUUUGACCAAGGAAGAAUAAACGAAUAAUGGAAUAAUUUCUUAAGCUCUCAAUUAAUUUUGAUUACUUGUUAUAAUUAUGUUAUAUAAAAAUAUAAAUUAAACCGCUGAAAAAACCAGCCGAACCGCGCGAUUGUUUAAAUAAUUUAUACGUCAUGGCAAAAAUGAUCAUUCAACCUGCCUUGUAAGCAUAUACGCAAAAAAAAAAUGUAUGCGUUCUACAAGUGCAUUGGUCGGACAUUUGAAAUUUAUAAAAGUAAAGUAAAAUAAUUUCUAUUUUUUGCAUCGAUUCGCAUUUUCUCGAGAAAAAAAGCUUCGAUCGCGAAAAAAAAAAAUUAAAUAUCUAUUAUAAGAAUUCAAAAUCUCCGACCUUCGUUAUUACCACGCAUA